GUUGUGGUAGUUUUUCUUCUUUUAAAUAUAGUCUCCUCCUUUACUGUGUUGAUUCCCUUUAUAUAUUUAAAUGUUUCUAUCAUAUCCCCCCUGUCUCGUCUUUCCUCCAAGCUAUACAUGUUAAGAUCCUUUAACCUUUCCUGGUAAGUUUUAUCCUGCAAUUCAUGAACCAGUUUAGUAGCCCUUCUCUGAACCCUCUCUAAGGUAUCAAUAUCCUUCUGAAGAUACGGUCUCCAAUACUGCGUACAAUACUCCAAGUGAGGUCUCACCAGUGUUCUGUACAAUGGCAUGAGCACUUCCCUCUUUCUACUGCUAAUACCUCUCUCUAUACAACCAAGCAUUCUGCUAGUAUUUCCUGCUGCUCAAUUUUCUAUUUAUGUAUCCCACAUAUCAAAUUAGUCACCUUGUUUAAUUGUAAUAUUGCACUGCCAUGAGAGGAACACUCCGUGGUUAUUAUGUCAGGAGUGUCUUCUUGCCACCCUAUUUAAUGCAGGCAUGCCAUUUAGAAUGGUUUAACUUCUAACCAGCAGUCCCCAAUCUCCACCACUUCUUGAGACAGAGAUUCAUAAGUUGUGUACAAUGAAGUGUGUGAUCUCUUUAUGGAUCAAACCAUUGCCACGGCAAUGACAAUCUGAUUAUUAUUAUUUUUUGUGGCACUAGAGCAUAUCUGUUGAAAAGACAAUAUAUAGCUUAUUAGAACAGUAGCAUAAUUAUAAAUAAGUAAACAUGUACACACAGC